UGCAAAACCAUCAUGCCUGGAAGAUCACUGCAUCAAUGUAAGAGGCUUUGGGAUAAGAGAAGGUAUUGAAACCUAGGUAUUAGAAGAUACCUUUCUGCCAACCAACUGUCUUUACAUCCUGUUCAUACACGAGAAGAGCGAGAUGCACAGCGUGGGGGAGGUUCAAUACAUUCCAUUCAUAAAUUUUUAUUAAAAAGGUACAAAAGGAAAAA